AGUUUGAUGUACAGUUUUAUACCGAACUUUAAACGAUCGUUUGUUUAUGAUAAUACUGCUAACAGCAGCCGUAAAAAAAAUAUAUUGUGGACAUGCGGGUUUUUAAUUAAAAAUACGUGUACUCGCAAACGAAUCGCAUAUAAUGUAUAACCUUUUUUUCGUCUCCUCGUAAGAAUAUACUUUAUUUUUUUUAAUUUGUGUUAUAUUAUUAUUGUCAUUUCCGUAUAAAAAUUGCAUAUGAUUUUGAGAGAAUUUAGCAAUGUAUCGAUUUUACUUUGGUGUGUUUUUUUUUUUUUGUCAAUGGAAAUCUUGAUCUGAUCAACAACUUUAUAAAACCUUUUUCGUUAUAUUUAUAAUAUAGUUAGUGCAUUGGAGAGAUCAAUUUUUGAUUUUAUUUGUAGUUUUCUUAACAAAUCGAAAAAACAGGUCAUUUUUGGUACUUUUAUAAAUUCUUGGGUACAACAUAGGCAACAAGGGGAAAAAGAAGAGCUUACUUCACACGUAGGUGGCCCACUGCUGUAGGUAAUUAGUUAGGAAGGCAGUAAAAGAAAAAUUUAAUGUAUAUAUGUAAGCAAAGAUUAACCAUUGCAAACAAAGGAACGAUUUUAAGCGGAGUUCGGUUAGUAGUGUUGCUUUGUCAACAAUAUAUAUUAUGCCAUAUUAUGGUAAAAUAAUUACAUAUGCAUUAAACAUUUUCUUUAAUUCUAUUUUUUUUAAUUUUGUACCUAUUUCCCUGUUUUCCCUACGGUUUUUCCUAGUUUUUCUCAUUUAUUGAGAAAACUCCUCGGUUGAAUCAAAAAAUGAUCUUUUUAAAGUAUCAUCUCAAUCAGAUUUCCUUUUAGAAAAAGUGCUAUCAUUGUAAAUCGGAGCAAAAUUUCUGAUAGAAAAGUUGUCCACGGAAAAAAAUAAAUAAACAUCGUUGCAAAACCAAUACAUUCCUCGCCCCAUUCAGAUUUUUUUUUAACAGUGGUUUAUCGUUACAUAAGGUAUAAAUUAAAUAACUAUAUCGUUGGAAGAUAUGCUUCCAACUUCCCUCCUAAAACUGUAGAAUACCCAUCAUCAAAAUCAGACUAUUUCCGUUAUUAAAUUGUUUUGGACGUUUUUAGUUAUUUCUGAGACUUUAUAUAAGCAUACAGAGCGUUUAACACGGCGUAAGACACUCAUUAUAAUAGAAAGCAUUGACUUUUUCGGAAUUCAUUUUUUA